AUGAUAAAAAAUAAAGUAAAAGGAUAGAAAAGUGUAUAUUAUGAAAAGGGAAACCAAAAAAAGCUAGAGGGGCUAUACUUAUGAGACAAAGUAGACUUUGAAACAAAAAAAAUUAAUGCCCCACUUUCAAUAACAGAUAGAACUAGACAUGAGAUGAGUAAGUAAAUGGAAGACUUGAACAACACUUUAAAUCACUAGACAUAACAGACAUUUAUUGAACAUUCCACCCAACAACAGAAUAUAGAUUCUUCUCAAGUAUGCAUGGAACGUUUUCCAGGACAGACUAUGUGCUAGGCCAAAAACAACCAUAAAUAAAUUAAAAGGAUAAAAAUAUUACAUUAUGUUCUCUAAUCACAUUAGACUAAAAUCAGAAAUCAAUAACAAGAAAAAUCUGGGAAACAAAUAUGUAUGUGGAAAUUAAGCAACAUAUUCUUGAAUAAUAAAUGAAUUAAAAGGGAAAAAAUAAAAAAGGAAAUUAGAAAAUACUUUGAGAGAAAUAGAGAUACAACAUUCCCAAACUUAUGGGGCACAGCUAAAACAGUACUUAGAGGUCAAUUACAGUGUAAAUGUCUGUGUUAAGGAAGAGCAAACAUCUCAAAUCAAUAUUCUAAACUUCAAAAUCAGGACA